AUUCUUACCUGGACGAGGUCGAUGAGCGAUCAAGAAAGCUCAUGGCCUAGUUUAACGGCCUCCAUUACACAUGGGAGGGAGUGUUAACCUACCAUCUCCCCACAAGUGAGAGAGU
rnacentral:sRNA from 1 species